rnacentral:rRNA from 1 species
UACGUAGGUCCCGAGCGUUGUCCGGAUUUAUUGGGUGUAAAGGGUGCGUAGACGGGAAGGCAAGUUGGUUGUGAAAUCCCUCGGCUUAACUGAGGAACUGCAACCAAAACUAUCUUUCUUGAGUGCUGGAGAGGAAAGUGGAAUUCCUAGUGUAGCGGUGAAAUGCGUAGAUAUUAGGAGGAACACCAGUGGCGAAGGCGACUUUCUGGACAGUAACUGACGUUGAGGCACGAAAGUGUGGGGAGCAAACAGG